AUUGAACGCUGGCGGCAGGCCUAACACAUGCCAGUCGAACGAGUGGCGGACGGGUGAGUAAUGUAUGGGAAACUGCCCGAUGGAGGGGGAUAACAACUGGAAACGGUAGCUAAUACCGCAUACCAUCGGGUGUGCCCAGAUGGGAGUAGCUUGUAGGUGAGGUAAAGGCUCACCUAGGCUACGAUCCCUAGCUGGUCUGAGAGGAGGACCAGCGUCACGGGAACUGAGGUACGGGCCAGAAGCGUACUGGUGGCAGCAGUGGGGAAUAUUGAACAAUGGGCUAUAUCCUGAUGCAGCCAUGCCGCGUGUAUGAAUUAGGCCUUCGUGUUGUAAAGUACUUUCAGCUGGUAGGCGUUACCCGCAGAAUAAGCACCGGCUCACUCCGGACCAGCAGCCGCGGUAAUUC
rnacentral:rRNA from 1 species